rnacentral:rRNA from 1 species
AUUGAACGCUGGCGGCAUGCUUUACACAUGCAAGUCGAACGGUAACAGGCCGCAAGGUGCUGACGAGUGGCGAACGGGUGAGUAAUGCAUCGGAACGUGCCCAGUCGUGGGGGAUAACGCAGCGAAAGCUGCGCUAAUACCGCAUACGAUCUAUGGAUGAAAGCGGGGGACCAUAAGGCCUCGCGCGAUUGGAGCGGCCGAUGUCAGAUUAGGUAGUUGGUGGGGUAAAGGCUCACCAAGCCAACGAUCUGUAGCUGGUCUGAGAGGACGACCAGCCACACUGGGACUGAGACACGGCCCAGACUCCUACGGGAGGCAGCAGUGGGGAAUUUUGGACAAUGGGCGAAAGCCUGAUCCAGCAAUGCCGCGUGUGUGAAGAAGGCCUUCGGGUUGUAAAGCACUUUUGUCCGGAAAGAAAUGGCUCUGGUUAAUACCUGGGGUCGAUGACGGUACCGGAAGAAUAAGGACCGGCUAACUACGUGCCAGCCGCCGCCGUAAUAC